rnacentral:rRNA from 1 species
GAUGAACGCUCGCUCCAGGCUUAACACAUGCAAGUCGAGGGGAAACGACAUCGAAAGCUUGCUUUUGAUGGGCGUCGACCGGCGCACGGGAGAGUAACGCGUAUCCACCCUGCCCAUCACUUGGGGAUAACCUUGCGAAAGUAAGACUAAUACCCAAUGUUAUCCCUAGAAGACAUCAGAAAGAGAUUAAUGAUUUAUCGGUGAUGGAUGGGGAUGCGUCUGAUUAGCUUGUUGGCGAGGUAACGGCCAACCAAGGCAACGAUCAGUAGGGGUUCUGAGAGGAAGGUCCACCAGAUUGGAACUGAGACACGGUCCAAAACCCGACGGGAGGCAGCAGUGAGGAAUAUUGGUCGAUGGGGGAGAGCCUGAACCAGCCAAGUAGGGUGCAGGAAGACGGCCAUAUGGGUUGUAAACUGCUUUUAUAAGGGAAAAAAGUGAGAGUCGUGACUCUUUUUGUAUGUACCUUAUGAAUAAGGACCGGCUAAUUCCGUG